UAUAUUGAAUCCUUUUUAAAAGCUUUUAUAUUAAUUAUGUUGGUUUUCCAACUACGACGAUAAACGAAUUUCGUAAUAACCAUUGCGGACGUGGGGGCAGUACCCACCACCUCCACCAUUACAACUCAUGGGGGUGAACUAGAUUCGACGGAUGACUAAAAGCUAUUCUUUCGUUCGGGAUUGUUCCACCGUAACGGGCUAAUUUAUAAUUGCUAACGAAAGUUACGCACUUGCUGCCUAAUUAACUCAGUUAAUUAAGCAAACGGGGUUUGGGGUACCUGGCAACAGAACGCUCUUGG
rnacentral:tmRNA from 1 species